rnacentral:lncRNA from 1 species
UGGUACAUACUGCAAUAUGAUGGCACAUCCCACUGUGACACCAGUGGUGCAAGUGUCUUUUUUAAUCAAGCAAAUACCUAGAGCUAACCUAUUCAUAUAGUUGAAACAUAGGGGAUCUGGACACAUUUGGACAGGAUGCUAAUCUUAGCCCACUUGUCAUUGCUGCUUCUUUUGGGAAGCCAAGAUUCAGUAACCUGUACCGACCUGCAGAAACAGCAUGAAGUCAUCCAUGCAGCAGUUGGAGAACCUUUAGUGUUGAACUGCACCUACAACUGCUCCUCUGGAUUUGUCCGUGGACACUGGCUCAAACUCCCAGACUGUCUUCGUUGUCCUAGGCCAAGGGAAACAAAAAAUGUCACAAAGAAUGGUGACCUCUGCACUCUACCAUUGUAUUUUCCACAUCUGUCCAGGGAAGAUUUUCAGUACAACUAUACCUGCUUUUCUGAAGAUCAUGAAAGCGAACAGUUCCCACGCAAGAUAGAGUGUCUGGUAUCACUGCAAGCACAAGAUGAAUCGGUGACAGCGUUGGGUAACCAUGAGGACUCCAUAAUAGAUCAUGGAAAACCUGCUGUUAUCUGCACAGGCACAACAUCAAGAGAAGGAUCAGGUGCAUGCUCAACCAAUUGUGAGAGGGUGGCACUGCGAAUAACUCCGGCUGAUUGCCAGAGUGAUCAUGAGGUUCCUUAUGCUGACAUCAUGAUUACUAUGCGAGGGGCCAGCACACCUGAGCUCACACAGAUCUCCUACCUGGCUCCGGGGGACCAUAGAGAGAGGUGGAGGGAAGAGGCAGGCCCUGGCCCCAGCACCGGCCCUGAAGCUAGAUCCCACCUGCAGGCCUCCCGCUCAGCUGACAGACUGCAUGUCCAGCCCCGAGAAGUCUCAAGGAAGAUGAGCACAAACUCUGAGUAUGCUGUUAUCACCUACUCUUAACCAGUGGGGAUGGAGAAAGGAUAAAAGAGUGAACAAGAGAGAGCAAGUGAGACAUGACUGUCACUGUACUCAUGUUAAUAUUCCCUGGCUUUGUUAGCAUUUUUUUUUACUGUAGCAAGUUGUAUCUAUAACCGUAUAAAAAGUGAAAUGAACUGUCAUCCAAUAAAGUCAUACUUUUGUGUCA